rnacentral:misc_RNA from 1 species
AACCUAGCACACCUGCGGUGUGUACCUGCGGAGGGAUCAUUACCGAGUUUACAAACUCCCAACCCUUUGUGAACCUUACCAUAUUGUUGCUUCGGCGGGACCGCCCCGGCGCCUUCGGGCCCGGAACCAGGCGCCCGCCGGAGGCCCCAAACUCUUAUGUCUUUAGUGGUUUUCUCCUCUGAGUGACACAUAAACAAAUAAAUGAAAACUUUCAACAAUGGAUCUCAGAUCGGAAGAGCA